AUGUUGAGUUUGAGAUGUCUGCAAGCAAAUGGAUGAUAAAUACAGGUUCUUUGCAUUCGAACCUUUUGAUUGGAAUUUGGAAUUUGGAGGUGAAGAUGAGCUGUGCGUGUGAGGCAAGUAGCUGGCCUUGUAAAUUUAAGACCCCCUUGAUCAGCCCUAUCUGCUAGAACCUUUCAUACAUCACGUGCCUAUAUUUCUUUCUCUGGUAUUCGUUUGACAGUUAUACCAGCACAGUUGAUUUUCCCUUUUGAUAAUCUGAAAUCGGAAUCCCCCCCCCCCCCCCCCAAAAAAAAAAAGGCUGAUAUAUGUGUUCAAAAAGUGUAGCUUUUGAGCAUGAUUCAAUCUUCAUAUAUAUUAUAACAUCCAUUUGUGUCCAGCUUUUGCUGAGUCCUGACAAGUUUUAGCUGAGCCAGAAAACAAUUAUAUUUGGUUGGCGUCAACAUCUAAUAUUAACUGCACUUUUACUAAAGCAAAUGCGCUGUUAGAGCAAGUGUCUUUUCCUUUUCGAGUGUUUUGCUUAAAUUCCUUGAAGCAUUCGAUCUGCAGCCGCAACUGCAUAUAUGGGACCUAUCUACCCCCGGUAACAUUUAGCCUCGUUCAUUAUGAUGCUGAAAUCUGAAUCUGCAGAUACUUAUUUGUGGCUCAAAACUGAUCAUUACCUACACAUCCUGAACCUUUAUAAAAUAGAUGAAAACAGCAACCCAAAACCAUAAAUUUAUCCUUUUUCGUUUUUUCACUAAAAAGUAAUGCUAAUCCUCCAAGUUAUUACCUGCCACGUCUAAAUUGGGGUAGGGUGUGCUGAUCAUGUUCUGAGUUGAGCUGUGAUCAUUACUUAAAGAAAAGAAAAGAAAAGGAGACAAAACAAGAUCAGGAUCGGGUUUGUUUAACUGUAAGAGUUGUGGUUUUAAAAAGGGUAUUUAGUUCCGAAACGAAACUUUCUUAGAAUUCUAAAUGCAAAUAGAAUACGAUACGUAAAAAGGGGGAGACUAGAGGAUAGAUUGCUCUUGUAAAAACAAAAAGUAUCUGGUUCUUACUUCUCACACGUCUAGGGGUACUGCCACUCGUCCAAUUCUCAUUAUUUUUGGAAGGGAAUAUUUGACUAGCAUUUUCAAAGCGAAGUUUACUAACGCCAACAUGUCAAGUGAUUAUUGGCAUCUCUCCUGGUCAUCCUGAAGAAAGUCUAUUUAAAAUACUUCCAAGAUAUAUUUUUAUGUUAUCUUGUUAAAGUAUGUUGGAUAGUGCAUAAUGGACCCAUGCACGCAAGAGAUUAUUAUUAAUAUUAUUCCUUUUGUUUGGUAUUUUCACAUAUAUCAUUAAAGGGAUAUAGUAUAGAUAGAAAGAGCCUUAAUAUGCUUUAAAGAAUAUUAAAUAUUGCUUGGAAAAUUUUUUUUAUCAGGGUAGUGUAGAGUUA